UAAUAUGACGGUGAUAAUUUGCGAGUAUAUAAGAUAUAAAUAGCAGUUGCAAAUAGCUUUUUUUUUUGUAAUAGUAAUUUUUGAGGAAGUAUUACUAGUAUUAGAAGAAAAUUCAAUUUUCGGCUUAGAAAAAGUGCAAUAACUCAGUGUUUUUUACUAGUGUUUAUCCAACAAAUAGAAGUCAUUUUGGUGUCAACAAAAUUCUAUACUCACUACACAUAGCAGGAGCCUAUUUAAAGUCAAUUAUUUUCAAUACUCAUUGGAGGUUAAAAAAUGGGUAAAAAUAGCACAUGUACUGUUCCGUAUUGUAGAACUGGAUACCGGUCAAAUAAAAAAAAACGAAACUAAUUCGAAAAUCGCAUUAAAUGGCUUCCCAACUAAUAUAGAUAUUAUAAAUAAAUGGAAAAAAGCAAUUCCAAGAACUUAGGAACAAGAUGGCAAAUCAAUAAAUAUAAAAAAUGCGGUAGUUUGUUCCCUUCACUUCACGGAUAAUGAUUAUAGACACCAAAGUUUAACUAACGACCAACCUUUAAAACUUCGAUUAUUGAAGAAGGAUGCUAUUCCUUCCCAAUUCCAUGGUCCAAGUUAUUUGUCUAAAAAACCCAUUAAAUGUAGAAAAACAGAAAAAACAACAGCAACUAAUAGAAGAAAAUCAAAAAAAUCAAAAAAAUAAUCAUAUGAACCAGGAAUUGAUAAAUUCCGAUAAUGCUUAUACCUUGGAUGAAUUAAAAGAAAAAUUAAAGGGCACAAUAUUCGAUCAAGUAUACUUUUUAUUUCCGAUGAUACUUCAUUAACGUACUUCCUUAUUGAGAAACCAAGUUUAGAAGCUCCAACUAUUGUCGUCUUUAGUUUGGUUAUAGACUCGAACCUAACAUUUGAAAUGUAUCAGGAAAAGAAACUAUUACCUUUAUCCGUAGUGAGACAUAUAGUGCCUUCAAAAAAAAAUCCAUACCUGUUCCGAAGUAUUGAAGAUUUUAGUAACUCUGAAGGGCCUUGAAACAAAUUCCAAUCAUGAUCCAAUUAAAUACAUUAAAAAACAAGUUGAAGCUAUUUUGAAUAUUCUUUCAGAGGUUGAGGAUGAUAUUGCUUAAUCAAUCAGUUUUCUUAUGGAACAGUCUCUUUGGGUAUUAAAAACUAACAGAGGAAAACACUAUUCUCCUACUCUUUUGACUUGCUUCUCUAUGAGAAAAUAUUUCACCCGCUUUGUACAUAUUUAUACAUUUUUAAAGAAGGCCUUCUUAAAUUACCAACGGUGUGUUAUUUGAAGGAUUUAUCAUCUAAUUUGAACGUUAAGCCAGUGACAGAAUUAGAAUCAUAUAAAUAUCAAUAAACCAGAUUCAAAUCAAUACAAGAUAAAGAUUAUAAAGUAUAUAUCCUCAUUGAUGAAGUGUAUGUCAUGCAAAAAAUUGAAUAUUCAAAGUGUAAAAGUACAGGGCUAGAAAACAUGGAGCCUACAAAAACAUUGUUGUGUUUUUUGAUUGAUAGCAUUUCUGGCACAGACAAGGAUACCCCUUAUGUUCCAUUGGAUUCAACGUCGUAGCAGUAAUAACGGAUGGACAAUUGCAAUAAAAAAUUCUUCAAAACAAUGUUGAAAAAUGAUGACCAUUAUAUUGAUAAUCCAUACUCCCUUGGAAAUAUAAUUUAUUUUCUAUUUGAUAUGGUUUAAGAAUAUAUAUAAUAAUCUACUCAAUCGCAAAAUAUUUGAUUGUUUCAACAUUUAAUGGUGCUUCAAUCAUAUUCCUAAUUUAUAUGAAAAAGAAAAGUUCUUCCCAGUGAGAAAGGCGCACAAAUUAACUGAUAAAGUAAUUUAUCCACGAACCAUUUAGCGAACUAAUGUUAAACUCUCUGAUUGUUUCUUUCAUGACUCCACUCUAUCUGGUCUAAGGACGUAUGAAGAUAUGAAUUUAAAAUGUGGAGAAACGGCAAACAUUUUGUCCCUAAUAAAAGAGUUCUGGUGUCGCAUAAAUGUAAAAAAUAAAUUGGAAGUCCAUCGUUUGAAAGAUAAUAGAAGGACAGUUGUUGAUUUUAGGGAUUGUGAAACCCUCAUUUUCUUAAAACAAUUUAUCAAAUAGAUUUUUGAAUGGGAUAAUUUUAAUAAAUUAGGUUUAAACAAGGAAACUUUUUAUACUCUGAAACAUUCGUUGGGAAAGAUUAAUUCUGAUCCUAUUGAAGCUCGCUUCUCAAAAUAUCGCCAGCUUGGAGGAGCAAAUUAUUAGAAGCUGAAAAAAAAUAGACUUUGGGGUCUUUUUUCACUUUCUAAAAUGUCUAUAAAAGAACUAAAAUGUUUUUCUGUUAAAGCUGAAGAUCUGGAGCCAAUUUGUGCAAAUUGUGAAUCAAGCUCUUUCGUAUAUUGACAUCAACGACACUAUUUUCCACAAUGUUAAAGGAGUUGUCUUUUAUAUAUAUCCGGAUAUAUAGCAAGGUCCAUUAUUAAAGUCACAAAAUGCGAAGAAUGUCAUAAAUUACUCAAGUCCAGUGAUUUGCCACCAAUUUUUGAUUUAUCAAAUGAAGAUAGUUAUUUAGUAGAGCUCAACCAUUUAAAAUAAAAUUUGUUAAACAUGAA
rnacentral:lncRNA from 1 species